AUUGAACGCUGGCGGCAGGCCUAACACAUGCAAGUCGAACGAGUGGCGGACGGGUGAGUAAUGUCUGGGAAACUGCCUGAGGGAGGGGGAUAAAUACUGGAAACGGUAGAUAAUAACGCAUACCAUCAGAUGUGCCCAUAUGGGAUGAGCGAGUUGGUGGGGUAACGGCGCACCAAGGCGACGACCCCUAGCUGGUCUGAGAGGAUGACCAGCCACACUGGAACUGAGACACGGUCCAGACUCCUACGGGAGGCAGCAGUGGGGAAUAUUGCACAAUGGGCGCAAGCCUGAGACAGCCCUGCCGCGUGUAUGAAGAAGGCCUUCGGGUUGUAAAGUACUUUCAGCGGGGAGGCGUUACCCGCAGAAGAAGCACCGGCUAACUCCGUGCCAGCAGCCGCGGUAAUUC
rnacentral:rRNA from 1 species